rnacentral:rRNA from 1 species
GUACACGCUGUGACUAGCAUAUCAAUAAGCGGAGGAAAAGAAACUAACAAGGAUUCCCCUAGUAACGGCGAGUGAAGCGGGAAGAGCUCAAAUUUGAAAUCUUAAAGGGUUUCCCUUUACGAAUUGUAGUUUAAAGAAGUGUUUUCUGUUGAGGUUUUGGUAAAAGUUCUUUGGAAUAGGACAUCAUAGAGGGUGAGAAUCCCGUAUUUGACCUUUACUUUCAACUUUGUGAUACACUUUCAAAGAGUCGGAUUGUUUGGGAAUGCAGUCCAAAAUGGGUGGUAAAUUUCAUCUAAAGCUAAAUAUUGGCGAGAGACCGAUAGCGAACAAGUACCGUGAGGGAAAGAUGAAAAGAACUUUGAAAAGAGAGUUAAACAGUACGUGAAAUUGUCAAAAGGGAAGCGUUUGACACCAGUGUUGUUUUUCUGAAAAUCAAUUAAAGAACUGUUUAUGCUAAGCUGUUUAGACUUUAUCAGCUAAUCUGUUUAGUUUUGAGCUUUUCUUUAAUGCACCUUUUCAGUUAACAAGUCAACAUCAAUUUCUUUUGCUGUAAAAAAGCUUGAGGAAGGUGGCUUGAGAUUCGUCUUAAGUGUUUAUAGCCUCUUGCCUAUGCAGUCGGAGAGAUUGAGGUCUGCAGCGUAGAUCCUUCGGGGCUAGAAUGCAUUUGUGCUAAGUUAUAGCAUUUUAUAGACAACUUGUUGACUAUGAUUUGUCUUGUAGCUUACUCGCUUAUGUUAUUUUACCUACGCUUAGGAUGUUGACGAGACUGUCGAUCUC